GACGAACGCUGGCGGCGUGCUUAACACAUGCAAGUCGAACGGAAAGGCCCUGCUUUUGUGGGGUGCUCGAGUGGCGAACGGGUGAGUAACACGUGAGUAACCUGCCCUUGACUUUGGGAUAACUUCAGGAAACUGGGGCUAAUACCGGAUAGGAGCUCCUGCUGCAUGGUGGGGGUUGGAAAGUUUCGGCGGUUGGGGAUGGACUCGAGGCUUAUCAGCUUGUUGGUGGGGUAGUGGCUUACCAAGGCUUUGACGGGUAGCCGGCCUGAGAGGGUGACCGGCCACAUUGGGACUGAGAUACGGCCCAGACUCCUACGGGAGGCAGCAGUGGGGAAUAUUGCACAAUGGGCGGAAGCCUGAUGCAGCAACGCCGCGUGCGGGAUGACGGCCUUCGGGUUGUAAACCGCUUUCGCCUGUGACGAGGAGUGAGUGACGGUAAUGGGUAAAGAAGCCCCGGCUAACUACGUG
rnacentral:rRNA from 1 species